rnacentral:rRNA from 1 species
UUAAGCGACUAAGCGUACACGGUGGAUGCCCUGGCAGUCAGAGGCGAUGAAGGACGUGCUAAUCUGCGAUAAGCGCCGGUAAGGUGAUAUGAACCGUUAUAACCGGCGAUUUCCGAAUGGGGAAACCCAGUGUGAUUCGUCACACUAUCAUUAACUGAAUCCAUAGGUUAAUGAGGCGAACCGGGGGAACUGAAACAUCUAAGUACCCCGAGGAAAAGAAAUCAACCGAGAUUCCCCCAGUAGCGGCGAGCGAACGGGGAGGAGCCCAGAGCCUGAAUCAGCAUGUGUGUUAGUGGAAGCGUCUGGAAAGGCGCGCGAUACAGGGUGACAGCCCCGUACACAAAAGCGCAUGUGCUGUGAGCUCGAUGAGUAGGGCGGGACACGUGGUAUCCUGUCUGAAUAUGGGGGGACCAUCCUCCCAAGGCUAAAUACUCCUGACUGACCGAUAGUGAACCAGUACCGUGAGGGAAAGGCGAAAAGAACCCCGGCGAGGGGAGUGAAAAAGAACCUGAAACCGUGUACGUACAAGCAGUGGGAGCACAGGUUUACCUGUGUGACUGCGUACCUUUUGUAUAAUGGGUCAGCGACUUAUAUUCUGUAGCAAGGUUAACCGUAUAGGGGAGCCGUAGGGAAACCGAGUCUUAACCGGGCGUUAAGUUGCAGGGUAUAGACCCGAAACCCGGUGAUCUAGCCAUGGGCAGGUUGAAGGUUGGGUAACACUAACUGGAGGACCGAACCGACUAAUGUUGAAAAAUUAGCGGAUGACCUGUGGCUGGGGGUGAAAGGCCAAUCAAACCGGGAGAUAGCUGGUUCUCCCCGAAAGCUAUUUAGGUAGCGCCUCGUGAAUUCAUCUCCGGGGGUAGAGCACUGUUUCGGCUAGGGGGCCAUCCCCGGCUUACCAACCCGAUGCAAACUGCGAAUACCGGAGAAUGUUAUCACGGGAGACACACGGCGGGUGCUAACGUCCGUCGUGAAGAGGGAAACAACCCAGACCGCCAGCUAAGGUCCCAAAGUCAUGGUUAAGUGGGAAACGAUGUGGGAAGGCCCAGACAGCCAGGAUGUUGGCUUAGAAGCAGCCAUCAUUUAAAGAAAGCGUAAUAGCUCACUGGUCGAGUCGGCCUGCGCGGAAGAUGUAACGGGGCUAAACCAUGCACCGAAGCUGCGGCAGCGAACGUAUCACCCAAGACAACUUUACGGAGUUGACGAUUGACGGAGCGAAGCGACGUCAAAGCGUUCAUUAAAGUCGAGUUGGCUUAGGGAUACGUUCGUUGGGUAGGGGAGCGUUCUGUAAGCCUGUGAAGGUGUGUCGUGAGGCAUGCUGGAGGUAUCAGAAGUGCGAAUGCUGACAUAAGUAACGAUAAAGCGGGUGAAAAGCCCGCUCGCCGGAAGACCAAGGGUUCCUGUCCAACGUUAAUCGGGGCAGGGUGAGUCGACCCCUAAGGCGAGGCCGAAAGGCGUAGUCGAUGGGAAACGGGUUAAUAUUCCCGUACUUGGUGUUACUGCGAAGGGGGGGACGGAGAAGGCUAUGUUGGCCGGGCGACGGUUGUCCCGGUUUAAGCGUGUAGGUGUGUGUUCCAGGUAAAUCCGGUUCACUUUAACACUGAGGCGUGACGACGAGGCACUACGGUGCUGAAGCAACAAAUGCCCUGCUUCCAGGAAAAGCCUCUAAGCAUCAGGUAACACGAAAUCGUACCCCAAACCGACACAGGUGGUCAGGUAGAGAAUACCAAGGCGCUUGAGAGAACUCGGGUGAAGGAACUAGGCAAAAUGGUGCCGUAACUUCGGGAGAAGGCACGCUGACACGUAGGUGAAGUGAUUUACUCAUGGAGCUGAAGUCAGUCGAAGAUACCAGCUGGCUGCAACUGUUUAUUAAAAACACAGCACUGUGCAAACACGAAAGUGGACGUAUACGGUGUGACGCCUGCCCGGUGCCGGAAGGUUAAUUGAUGGGGUCAGCGCAAGCGAAGCUCCUGAUCGAAGCCCCGGUAAACGGCGGCCGUAACUAUAACGGUCCUAAGGUAGCGAAAUUCCUUGUCGGGUAAGUUUCCGACCUGCACGAAUGGCGUAAUGAUGGCCAGGCUGUCUCCACCCGAGACUCAGUGAAAUUGAACUCGCUGUGAAGAUGCAGUGUACCCGCGGCAAGACGGAAAGACCCCGUGAACCUUUACUAUAGCUUGACACUGAACAUUGAGCCUUGAUGUGUAGGAUAGGUGGGAGGCUUUGAAGUGUGGACGCCAGUCUGCAUGGAGCCGACCUUGAAAUACCACCCUUUAAUGUUUUGAUGUUCUAACGUGGACCCGUAAUCCGGGUUGCGGACAGUGUCUGGUGGGUAGUUUGACUGGGGCGGUCUCCUCCUAAAGAGUAACGGAGGAGCACGAAGGUUGGCUAAUCCUGGUCGGACAUCAGGAGGUUAGUGCAAUGGCAUAAGCCAGCUUGACUGCGAGCGUGACGGCGCGAGCAGGUGCGAAAGCAGGUCAUAGUGAUCCGGUGGUUCUGAAUGGAAGGGCCAUCGCUCAACGGAUAAAAGGUACUCCGGGGAUAACAGGCUGAUACCGCCCAAGAGUUCAUAUCGACGGCGGUGUUUGGCACCUCGAUGUCGGCUCAUCACAUCCUGGGGCUGAAGUAGGUCCCAAGGGUAUGGCUGUUCGCCAUUUAAAGUGGUACGCGAGCUGGGUUUAGAACGUCGUGAGACAGUUCGGUCCCUAUCUGCCGUGGGCGCUGGAGAACUGAGGGGGGCUGCUCCUAGUACGAGAGGGACCGGAGUGGACGCAUCACUGGUGUUCGGGUUGUCAUGCCAAUGGCACUGCCCGGUAGCUAAAUGCGGAAGAGAUAAGUGCUGAAAGCAUCUAAGCACGAAACUUGCCCCGAGAUGAGUUCUCCCUGAGACUUAGAGUCUCCUGAAGGAACGUUGAAGACGACGACGUUGAUAGGCCGGGUGUGUAAGCGCAGCGAUGCGUUGAGCUAACCGGUACUAAUGAACCGUGAGGCUUAACCUU